UGGGGAAUCUUGGACAAUGGGGGCAACCCUGAUCCAGCCAUGCCGCGUGAGUGAUGAAGGCCUUAGGGUCGUAAAGCUCUUUCGCCUGUGAAGAUAAUGACGGUAGCCGGAGAAGAAGCCCCGGCUAACUCCGUGCCAGCAGCCGCGGUAAUACGGAGGGGGCUAGCGUUGUUCGGAAUUACUGGGCGUAAAGCGCGCGUAGGCGGACUGAUCAGUCAGGGGUGAAAUCCCGGGGGCUCAACCCCGGAACUGCCUUUGAUACUGUCAGUCUUGAGUCCGGAAGAGGCGAGUGGAAUACCGAGUGUAGAGGUGAAAUUCGUAGAUAUUAGGUGGAACACCAGUGGCGAAGGCGCCUAACUGGUCCGGUACUGACGCUGAGGAACGAAAAGCGUGGGGAGCAAACAGGAUUAGAUACCCUGGUAGUCCACGCCGUAAACGAUGAGUGCUAGAUGUUGGGAUUUUCGGAUUUCAGUGUCGCAGCUAACGCAUUAAGCACUCCGCCUGGGAGUACGGCCGCAAGG
rnacentral:rRNA from 1 species